rnacentral:rRNA from 1 species
UACGUAGGUGACCAGCGUUGUCCGGAUUUACUGGGCGUAAAGGGCGCGUAGGCGGUUCGUCAAGUCCUGUGUGAAAUCCCCCGGCUCAACUGGGGAACUGCACAGGAAACUAGCGGGCUUGAGUUCGGGAGAGGGAAGCGGAAUUCCGGGUGUAGCGGUGAAAUGCGUAGAUAUCCGGAGGAACACCGGUGGCGAAGGCGGCUUCCUGGACCGACACUGACGCUGAGGCGCGAAAGCUAGGGGAGCAAACGGG